UACGGAAGGGGCAAGCGUUGUUCGGAAUCAUUGGGCGUAAAGGGCGCGCAGGUGGCUCUGUAUGUCUGCCGUGAAAGCAUACAGCUCAACUGUAUUGUGUCGGUAGAAACUGCAGGACUUGAGUCCGGGAGGGGCGAGUGGAAUUCCUGGUGUAGCGGUGAAAUGCGCAGAUAUCAGGAGGAACACCAAUGGCGAAGGCAGCUCGCUGGAACGGUACUGACGCUGAGGCGCGAAAGCGUGGGGAGCAAACAGG
rnacentral:rRNA from 1 species